GGAGGCGACCGAGCGCCUGGUGGGCUCCCCGGUCUUCAAAACCGGUGGGGGGUCGAAAGGUCCCCGGCGGGUUCGAUUCCCGUCCGCCUCCGCCA
rnacentral:tRNA from 1 species